rnacentral:rRNA from 1 species
AUUGAACGCUGGCGGAAUGCUUUACACAUGCAAGUCGAACGGUAGAGGGGGCAACCCCUCGAGAGUGGCGAACGGGUGAGUAAUAUAUCGGAACGUGCCCAGUCGUGGGGGAUAACGUAGCGAAAGUUACGCUAAUACCGCAUACGAUCUAAGGAUGAAAGCGGGGGAUCGCAAGACCUCGCGCGAUUGGAGCGGCCGAUAUCAGAUUAGGUAGUUGGUGGGGUAAAGGCUCACCAAGCCAACGAUCUGUAGCUGGUCUGAGGGGACGACCAGCCACACUGGAACUGAGGCACAGUACAGACUCCUACGGGAGGCAGCAGUGGGGAAUUUUGGACAAUGGACGCAAGUCUGAUCCAGCCAUUCCGCGUGCAGGAUGAAGGCCCUCGGGUUGUAAACUGCUUUUGUACGGAACGAAAAGGUCUCUCUUAAUACGGGGGGCUCAUGACGGUACCGUAAGAAUAAGCACCGGCUAACUACGUGCCAGCCGCCGCCGUAA